rnacentral:rRNA from 1 species
AUUGAACGCUGGCGGCAGGCCUAACACAUGCAAGUCGAGCGGAUGACAGGAGCUUGCUCCUGAAUUCAGCGGCGGACGGGUGAGUAAUGCCUAGGAAUCUGCCUGGUAGUGGGGGACAACGUUUCGAAAGGAACGCUAAUACCGCAUACGUCCUACGGGAGAAAGCAGGGGACCUUCGGGCCUUGCGCUAUCAGAUGAGCCUAGGUCGGAUUAGCUAGUUGGUGAGGUAAUGGCUCACCAAGGCGACGAUCCGUAACUGGUCUGAGAGGAUGAUCAGUCACACUGGAACUGAGACACGGUCCAGACUCCUACGGGAGGCAGCAGUGGGGAAUAUUGGACAAUGGGCGAAAGCCUGAUCCAGCCAUGCCGCGUGUGUGAAGAAGGUCUUCGGAUUGUAAAGCACUUUAAGUUGGGAGGGAAGGGCAUUAACCUAAUACGUUA